GAGCUGCUCCAGCCCUUACUGGUUAACGGGAACUGGUAAGCAUCCCCCAUUAAGAGUGGUGCUAACCAGUUAACCUUUUACAUCCCUAGCUAGGCGCCUCAGACUUAAUUAUUGUUCUUACGUUCUCUGUGGAUUCCACGUGCUCUGGAUUCCUAAUUUUGGGUCUCUGCUUCUAGCUCAUAACUGAGAGGGAACUCCACAUUCUCAAGGUUUGGGUUUUUAAUCUGAGAUACUGGUAGGUGUCCUGUGCACAAUCACCAUUUCCCCUUUCUCAGGCUCCUUUAUUGUUCUUUCAUCAAUUCCUUUCUAACGGUGGACAACAACCAUUUCCAAAACACGCCACAGCCCCGGUAUCGUUCCAGCGCCUUUCCCGAUUAACUUAAUUUUGCCUCAAGAACUCUUGUCUUCCCUUGUUGUCUGAAUCCUAACAUUUAGAUCACAAACUCUUUGGGAGCAUAGCUAGUAUCUUCUUAGUAUUGCCCAUGCAAUAUGUGCUUUAUGUGAUGGCUUAGAUGGAGAUGUGCUGUUGAUGAUUCUAUAUUCUGUAAUGCCCUGGCGGCUUUAUCUAGAGGGAAUUUGAAAUCUUAAAAGUUACCCCGAAGUUUUUAAUUCUGCCAGCAGGUGCGUGACCUAGAGAAACAUGACUUGAAAGCUAGGUGUUCAAACAGUCCAGUCGUUUUAUUUAAUCGGUAGAAGUACAUGGCUGAAUGGGGCCCUAAUUGAUCAAACCAGUCUGAAGUUUAAGUGGUGUCAAAGCAUAAUACUUGCGGAGUAGAACAGCUUGGGCGGGCAGCUGCAGACUUAAUCCAGGAGGCUUAUGAGACCACCACGUGGCCUGUUCUGAGCACUACAGCUUGACAUCUUGACUUGUGCUGCCUUGUUGCAGAGCCUAUUCGCCAGCGUGUGGUGCUCACGCUUUCCUGGCCCCUAUCCUUUUCAGGAUAUCUUGAAUUAUCUCCUGGAUAUUAGUACCCUGGAUAUUACUACCAGAGUGUUACUCUCCUGUGUAGUCAGUUGGACUGUUGUGUGGUGGUGGUACAUGUAUUUCCCUUAGUUCCCUUCUCCUUGUUGCAGCAUGUUGUUUACACUUAAUUUUAAAGACAGAGUGAUUUGGGGGUCUUUAGGCUCCUAUAAACGGGCAUCUAGUGGAUGAGAUAGCAAAGAAAAUGGCCUGAAAAAGAUAAAGCAUCAAUAAGUUGCCCUUCAUUCUCCCAUAUCUCUUUAACAUGAAGAUCUAUUCAUGCUUUUUCCUCAUCCUAUUUAGAAUGGACGGAAUUUUCCUAUGGCUUUAUGUAUGGUGUUGCAAUUUAAGAAUAUUUUUGCCACUUGUAUCUCAAGAAGGCAACUAUGAAACACUAUAUAAGACUGAUGCACUGACAAUUUGUCUGUGCAAAGUGCACUUUUUAGUUCCUUAAAGGAUCCACAGCUUUGAGAACCUUGAGGAGUUACUGCCUUAUUUUGGCUUGAAGUGGAGACCCAUGAGUGGGAAUCCAGUGAAAUAUUUUUGUCCAAAGAUCUAAACUUACAGGUAAGUAUUUAAAAAAAAAAAAAUUUGCAAUACAGUGACACACGUGUGCCCAGGAGAGAAUUUCAGCCUUUGCACCAAAUUUCUCAGCAUUGCUUCUAAAUUUAAAGCUCUAACAUUUGUUUUAAUGUAGACUUUGAUUUUGUGAAAUCGGUUUUAUCUGUAUCAUCGAUUUUAUGCAAACACUGCAAAUGGAAGAGAAAGGGGAAAAAAGUGAUGUUGGGGUUUCCUCCAUUUUUUUUUUGUUCCACCAUUCUUAGAACCAGAAACGAUCUCCAUUAAUUGUAAGAAUGGGUCCCUCCCCCACCCCCAAUCUGAGGAGGAGUUUUUUAGAGAAUGGGAGAAACAAAUGCAACUUUAAGAUAGGCAAGGGGAAAAAGUCACAAGAUGUUUAAAACACAUAUCCCUCUUUUACUUGAAGUAAAAUAGCUAGUAACUAUUGUGCUCCAAAUGGUUGGUCAUUUAUUUUGUGAUGUUACUUAUAACCAACAAGUAUCUGCCUUUCUCUUUCAUACAAGUCUUUACAUGCACUCACUACUUUAUUGUAUAGAUACCUAUUGUUUAAACUCUUUUCUUUUUUUUUUCUUUUUUUUUGCACACAAGUGUUUUGUUGAUGAUAAAUAAUUUUGAAAGUUUUUUUUGUUGUUGAAUUCUAACUUAUUAGGAAAAUAACAUUCUUUUCAUAACUGUAACAAUUAAAUUUAAAAAAAUGCUGCGAUCUAUAAUUUGCUAACGGUGCCAUUGUGCUGCUUCUUAUGGUACAAAAAAAAUGCACAUUUUAUUUAAAUACCUUUUUAUAGUCGCACAUACUGGUGGAGUUACAAAAACAGAAAACGCAUUGUGCCUAAAACAUGAUUGAAUAUGUUGACAAAAACUUUACUUGAUUUUAAAACUGACUGGAUUUUACUUUACAGCGUGGUAGCAAAGAUAGUUGGUGGAUGUUGCUAUUAUCGGUCACUAAAUAAAGGCUCUAGUUUUAUUGCCUGUGCAGAAACUUUAUUGUAUUUACAAUUUUAUUGUUAAUAUUUUUUGAAAAAGUGUUGCUGGCCAAGUGCUAAUUGCAAAUCUGAAUAUUCUGUUUAUUGUGGCUAUUUCCAUAUUUGACAUAAAUGGCCUAUUGCACAUUUCAUUUCUUGGCCUUUUGGAGAUUUUUGCUGUGGGAACGAAGAGGAGGGAUUUUAUCCAGAGCUCUGGACUCUACAUAUACAUUUGACAUCACUGGUAAUGCUUUUGUCCCCAAAUCUCAGGAGUGUUUUAGGCAGUGGAAUUGGUUUCCCCUUCACUGAUACCAAGAUGCGUGUUCUAGGGUCUUGUUAACAAUAUUUCAUUGCAGUCCUAGGUAUCUAUAGCAUGAGUGGCCUUAGUGAAUUUGUUGAAGUGCACAUUUUUUUUUCAAAAGUAAAUUUUAAGAUGAAAAAUAUAUACUAUAUAAAUAUAUAGAGAGAUAUCUAGAAACUUGGUUUGUGGUGCACAAGUUAAGUGUUGGAUCACAAAAUAACUGUCGCAGGUACCAUACGUGUAACACUUUCUUUUUAUGUAUAUUCCUUUAGAGGAAACAAUGUUGCCAUGGUAACUGAAACUUUACCAUUUAUUCCUUACUUUCUGAUGUGAAUGAACUCUACAUUUUAUUGACUAUUACCAGGUUCAGUACUAUUUUUAUAUUUUAUUGUACUCCGGGGGAUUUUAAUUUAAUAGCAUUCUAAAAAAAGAUGUUGCUUGAACUGUUUUAAAGCAAAAUACUAAAACCAAGAAAACCUUUUAAACCGGAAUCCCCACUGACAGUGCCACAGUAAUUUAUAUGAACGUAUCUUGAUCAUUGCUAGACUUUGAAGAUCCUUCUAUUUGUUGUGUCAAUAACCUUUCGUAUCCUACUUCUCAUAAACUGCAGUGCCCAACAUUAUUUGUAACCAUCAAACCAUACCGAGUAUGUUUGUAACCAGCAUUGUGAUAUUCUGUAAUUGUACUGCUAAAAUGAAUUAUUGACCUAAUAAAUAUAGUGUUCCUGCA